rnacentral:rRNA from 1 species
AUUGAACGCUAGCGGGAUGCCUUACACAUGCAAGUCGAACGGAGUGGCGAACGGGCGAGGAAUGUAUCGGUACGUGCCCAGUAGCGGGGGAUAACUACGCGAAAGCGUAGCUAAUACUGCAUACUAUUGGAGCGGCCGAUAUCGGAUUUGCUGGUUGGUGGGGUAACGGCUCCCAAAGGCGACGAUCCGUAGCUGGUUUGAGAGGACGACCAGCCACACUGGGACUGAGACACGGCCCAGACUCCUACGGGAGGCAGCAGUGGGGAAUAUUGCACAAUGGGGGAAACCCUGAUGCAGCCAUCCCGCGUGUGCGAAGAAGGCCUUCGGGUUGUAAAGCACUUUUGGCGGGGAAGCGGUACCUGCAGAAUAAGCACCGGCUAACUACGUGCCAGCCGCCGCGGUAAUUC